CAACGGUGCUGAAAACUUUGUACUGAGCGAUUUUAGAGACGAUAUCAUCUAUUCUAGGCAAAGGAUAAGCAUUCAGUUACGACCACUUGUGCUCUCCACGGUGAUUCACUCGGUUCAAUUAUACCUUCAUCUAGAAGCCUUUGUACUUCAGUUGUAAUAAAUUCUUUGUCUUCUCGGCUA